rnacentral:rRNA from 1 species
GACAGAGGGUGCAAACGUUGUUCGGAAUUACUGGGCGUAAAGCGUGUGUAGGCGGUCCACUAAGUCGGGGUGUGAAAGCCCCUGGGCUCAACCCAGGAAGUGCACUCGAAACUGGCGGGCUAGAGUAUCGGAGAGGUUGGUGGAAUUCUCGGUGUAGAGGUGAAAUUCGUAGAUAUCGAGAGGAACACCGGUGGCGAAGGCGGCCAACUGGACGAAUACUGACGCUGAGACACGAAAGCGUGGGGAGCAAACAGG